rnacentral:rRNA from 1 species
GAGUUUGAUCCUGGCUCAGAACGUACGCUGGCGGCACGCCUAACACAUGCAAGUCGAACGAAGUAGCAAUACUUAGUGGCAGACGGGUGAGUAACAUGUAGGUAUCUGCCCUUUGGCCUGGAAUAACACGAGGAAACUUGUGCUAAUACCGGAUAAGUCUUUACAGAGAAAGCUUUAUGCACCAUUGGAUGAGCCUGCACUUGAUUAGUUUGUUGGUGGGGUAAUGGCCUACCAAGACUGUGAUCAAUAGCUGAUUUGAGAGGAUGAUCAGCCACAUUGGGACUGAGACACGGCCCAAACUCCUACGGGAGGCAGCAGUGGGGAAUCUUGCACAAUGGAGGAAACUCUGAUGCAGCGAUGCCGCGUGAGUGAAGAAGGCCCUUGGGUUGUAAAGCUCUUUCGUCGGGGAAGAAAAUGACUGUACCCGAAUAAGAAGGUCCGGCUAACUUCGUGCCAGCAGCCGCGGUAAUACGAAGGGACCUAGCGUAGUUCGGAAUUACUGGGCUUAAAGAGUUCGUAGGUGGUUGAAAAAGUUAGUGGUGAAAUCCCAGAGCUUAACUCUGGAACUGCCAUUAAAACUUUUCAGCUAGAGUAUGAUAGAGGAAAGCAGAAUUUCUAGUGUAGAGGUGAAAUUCGUAGAUAUUAGAAAGAAUACCAAUUGCGAAGGCAGCUUUCUGGAUCAUUACUGACACUGAGGAACGAAAGCAUGGGUAGCGAAGAGGAUUAGAUACCCUCGUAGUCCAUGCCGUAAACGAUGUGUGUUAGACGUUGGAAAUUUAUUUUCAGUGUCGCAGGGAAACCGAUAAACACACCGCCUGGGGAGUACGACCGCAAGGUUAAAACUCAAAUGAAUUGACGGGGACCCGCACAAGUAGUGGAGCAUGUGGUUUAAUUCGAAGAUACGCGCAGAACCUUACCAACACUUGACAUGUUCGUCGCGACUUUAAGAGAUUAGAGUUUUCGGUUCGGCCGGACGAAACACAGGUGCUGCAUGGCUGUCGUCAGCUCGUGUCGUGAGAUGUUGGGUUAAGUCCCGCAACGAGCGCAACCCUCACUUUUAGUUGCCAUCAUUAAGUUGGGCACUCUGAAAGAACUGCCAGUGAUAAGCUGGAGGAAGGUGGGGAUGACGUCAAGUCCUCAUGGCCCUUACGUGUUGGGCUACACACGUGCUACAAUGGUAUCUACAACAGGAAGCAAGACUGCGAAGUUAAGCAAAUCCCUAAAAGAUACCUCAGUUCGGAUUGCACUCUGCAACUCGAGUGCAUGAAGCUGGAAUUACUAGUAAUCGUGGAUCAGCGUGCCACGGUGAAUGCGUUCCCGGGUCUUGUACACACCGCCCGUCACACCAUGGGAGUUGGUUCUACCUUAAGGCAAGGUUUCAAACCCUUGACCACGGUAUAGUCAGCGACUGGGGUGAAGUCGUAACAAGGUAACC